rnacentral:rRNA from 1 species
AUACGGAAGGUCCGGGCGUUAUCCGGAUUUAUUGGGUUUAAAGGGAGCGCAGGCGGAGAUGCAAGCGUGACGUCAAAUUUCGGGGCUCAACCCCGUCUCGCGUCGCGAACUGCGUCCCUUGGUUGCGGGAAGGGGCGGCGGGACUCGUGGUGGAGCGGUGAAAUGCAUAGAUAUCACGAAGAACUCCGAUCGCGAAGGCAGCCUUCCGGCCCGUCAACGACGCUCAUGCUCGAAGGUGCGGGUAUCAAACAGGAUUAGAUACCCUGGUAGUCCGCACAGUAAACGAUGGACACCCGCGGUUUGGCCUGUAUGGCUGAGCCGCCAAGCGAAAGCGUUAAGUGUCCCACCUGGGGAGUACGCCGGCAACGGUGAAACUCAAAUGAAUUGACGGGG